rnacentral:rRNA from 1 species
AUUGAACGCUGGCGGCAGGCCUAACACAUGCAAGUCGAGCGGAUGAAGGGAGCUUGCUCCUGGAUUCAGCGGCGGACGGGUGAGUAAUGCCUAGGAAUCUGCCUGGUAGUGGGGGAUAACGUCCGGAAACGGGCGCUAAUACCGCAUAAGUCCUGAGGGAGAAAGUGGGGGAUCUUCGGACCUCACGCUAUCAGAUGAGCCUAGGUCGGAUUAGCUAGUUGGUGGGGUAAAGGCCUACCAAGGCGACGAUCCGUAGCUGGUCUGAGAGGAUGAUCAGUCACACUGGAGCUGAGACACGGUCCAGACUCCUACGGGAGGCAGCAGUGGGGAAUAUUGGACAAUGGGCGCAAGCCUGAUCCAGCCAUGCCGCGUGUGUGAAGAAGGUCUUCGGAUUGUAAAGCACUUUUGUUUGGGAGGAAGAGCAGUAAGUUAAUACCUUGCUGUUUUGACGUUACCAACAGAAUAAGCACCGGCUAACUUCGUG